CCUUAGUUGCCACCAUUCAGUUGGGCACUCUAAGGAGACUGCCGGUGUUAAACCGGAGGAAGUGGGGAUGACGUCAAGUCCUCAUGGCCCUUAUAUCCAGGGCUACACACGUGCUACAAUGGCCGGUACAAAGGGUCGCAAUACCGCGAGGUGGAGCUAAUCCCAAAAAGCCGGUCUCAGUUCGGAUUGGAGUCUGCAACUCGACUCCAUGAAGUCGGAAUCGCUAGUAAUCGCGUAUCAGCGUGACCGCGGUCGAAUACGUUCCCGGGCCUU
rnacentral:rRNA from 1 species